GCGGGUGUAGCUCAGUUGGUAGAGCUCCAGCCUUCCAAGCUGGUUGUCGCGGGUUCGAAUCCCGUCGCCCGCU
rnacentral:tRNA from 3 species